rnacentral:rRNA from 1 species
UACGUAGGGGUCGAGCGUUGUCCGGAGUUAUUGGGCGUAAAGCGCGCGCAGGCGGCCUCGCGCGCCGACGUGAAAGCCCCCGGCUUAACCGGGGAGGGUCGUUGGGGACGGCGGGGCUUGAGGGCGGGAGAGGGCGGUGGAAUUCCCGGUGAGUGGUGAAAUGCGUAGAGAUCGGGAGGAACACCUGUGGCGAAGGCGGCCGUCUGGGCCGACCCUG